UACGUAGGGGGCUAGCGUUGUCCGGAAUCAUUGGGCGUAAAGCGCGUGUAGGCGGCCGGUAAGUCCGCUGUGAAAGUCGGGGGCUCAACCCUCGGAUGCCGGUGGAUACUGUCGGGCUAGAGUACGGAAGAGGCGAGUGGAAUUCCUGGUGUAGCGGUGAAAUGCGCAGAUAUCAGGAAGAACACCUAUGGCGAAGGCAGCUCUCUGGGACGGUACUGACGCUGAGACGCGAAAGCGUGGGGAGCGAACAGG
rnacentral:rRNA from 1 species